GCCUACAGCCAUACCACCCUGAACACACCGGAUCUUGUCUGAUCUCAGAAGCUAAGCAGGGUCGGGCCUGGUUAGUACUUGGAUGGGAGACCGUGUGGGAAUACUGGGUGCUGUAGGCU
rnacentral:rRNA from 1 species